UCCCUGGUGGCUUACAGGGUAAAGCGUCUGCCAGCAAUGCUGGAGUCCUGGGUUCGAUCCCCAGAUCGGGAA
rnacentral:tRNA from 1 species